UACAGAGACUGCAAGCGUUAUUCGGAUUCACUGGGCGUAAAGGGUGCGCAGGCGGCCAUGUGUGUUAGGCGUGAAAGCCCGGGGCUUAACCCCGGAAUUGCACCUAAAACUACGUGGCUAGAGCAUUGGAGAGGGUAGCGGAAUUCACGGUGUAGCAGUGAAAUGCGUAGAUAUCGUGAGGAACACCAGAGGCGAAGGCGGCUACCUGGACAAUUGCUGACGCUCAGGCACGAAAGCGUGGGGAGCAAAAGGG
rnacentral:rRNA from 1 species